rnacentral:rRNA from 1 species
GCGCCAGACUCCUACGGGAGGCAGCAGUGGGGAAUAUUGCGCAAUGGGCGAAAGCCUGACGCAGCGACGCCGCGUGAGGGAUGAAGGUUCUCGGAUCGUAAGCCUCUGUCAGAAGGGAAGAAAUUAUAUCAUGCUAAUCAGUGGUGUAUUAACGGUACCUUCAAAGGAAGCACCGGCUAACUCCGUGCCAGCAGCCGCGGUAAUACGGAGGGUGCAAGCGUUGUCCGGAAUCAUUGGGCGUAAAGAGUUCGUAGGCGGUAUGUUAAGUCUGGUGUUAAAUGCAGAAGCUCAACUUCUGUUCGGCACUGGAUACUGGCAAACUAGAAUGCGGUAGAGGUAAAGGGAAUUCCUGGUGUAGCGGUGAAAUGCUUAGAUAUCAGGAGGAACAUCGGUGGCGUAAGCGCUUUACUGGGCCGUAAUUGACGCUGAGGAACGAAAGCCAGGGUAGCAAAUGGGAUUAGAUACCCCAGUA